AGCAGCCGCGGUAAUUCCAGCUCCAAUAGCGUAUAUUAAAGUUGUUGCAGUUAAAAAGCUCGUAGUUGAAUUUCGGGGUCAGCAGGUUGGUCGUGCCAAUGGUAUGCACUGGCCUUGCUGAUUCCUCCCUCUUGAUGAGCCGUAAUGUCAUUAAUUUGGUGUUGCGGGGAAUCAGGACUGUUACUUUGGAAAAAUUAGAGUGUUUAAAGCAGGCAAGCGCUUGAAUACAUUAGCAUGGAAUAAUGAAAUAGGACGUUUGAUCCUAUUUUGUUGGUUUCUAGGAUUGACGUAAUGAUUAAUAGGGAUAGUUGGGGGCAUUAGUAUUCAAUUGUCAGAGGUGAAAUUCUUGGAUUUAUUGAAGACUAACUACUGCGAAAGCAUUUGCCAAGGAUGUUUUCAUUAAUCAAGAACGAAAGUUAGGGGAUCGAAGACGAUCAGAUACCGUCGUAG
rnacentral:rRNA from 1 species